CAGUCGCCGCGGUAAUACGUAGGGUGCAAGCGUUAAUCGGAAUUACUGGGCGUAAAGCGUGCGCAGGCGGUUUGUUAAGACAGAUGUGAAAUCCACGGGCUCAACCUGGGAACUGCAUUUGUGACUGGCAAGCUAGAGUAUGGCAGAGGGGGGUGGAAUUCCGCGUGUAGCAGUGAAAUGCGUAGAUAUGCGGAGGAACACCGAUGGCGAAGGCAGCCCCCUGGGCCAAUACUGACGCUCAUGCACGAAAGCGUGGGGAGCAAACAGGAUUAGAUACCCGCGUAGUCCCUGUCUCUUAUAC
rnacentral:rRNA from 1 species